CCUACGGGAGGCUGCAGUGGGGAAUAUUGCACAAUGGGGGAAACCCUGAUGCAGCGACGCCGCGUGAGUGAAGAAGUAUUUCGGUAUGUAAAGCUCUAUCAGCAGGGAAGAAAAUGACGGUACCUGAUUAAGAAGCCCCGGCUAACUACGUGCCAGCAGCCGCGGUAAUACGUAGGGGGCAAGCGUUAUCCGGAUUUACUGGGUGUAAAGGGAGCGUAGGCGGCAGCACAAGUCUGGAGUGAAAUGCCGGGGCUUAACCCCGGAACUGCUUUGGAAACUGUGCAGCUGGAGUGCAGGAGAGGUAAGUGGAAUGCCUGGUGUAGCGGUGAAAUGCGUAGAUAUUAGGAAGAACACCAGUGGCGAAGGCGGCUUACUGGACUGUAACUGACGUUGAGGCUCGAAAGCGUGGGGAGCGAACAGGAUUAGAUACCCCAGUAGUC
rnacentral:rRNA from 1 species